UACGAAGGGGGCAAGCGUUGUUCGGAAUUACUGGGCGUAAAGGGAGUGUAGGCGGUUAUGUAAGAUAGUGGUGAAAUCCCAGAGCUUAACUUUGGAAUUGCCAUUAUGACUAUGUGGCUAGAAUUACAGAGAGGAUAGUGGAAUACCCAGUGUAGAGGUGAAAUUCGUAGAUAUUGGGUAGAACACCAGUGGCGAAGGCGACUAUCUGGCUGUAUAUUGACGCUGAGGCUCGAAAGCAUGGGGAUCAAACAGGAUUAGAAACCCGUGUAGUCC
rnacentral:rRNA from 1 species